rnacentral:rRNA from 1 species
ACGAACGCUGGCGGCGUGCCUCAUACAUGCAAGUCGAGCGAAGUUUUUCUGGUGCUUGCCCUAGAAAAACUUAGCGGCGAACGGGUGAGUAACACGUAAAGAACCUGCCUCAUAGACUGGGACAACUAUUGGAAACGAUAGCUAAUACCGGAUAACAGUAUUUCUCGCAUGAGAGAUAUUUAAAAGUUGGUUAUGCUAACACUAUGAGAUGGCUUUGCGGUGCAUUAGCUAGUUGGUGGGGUAAAGGCCCACCAAGGCGACGAUGCAUAGCCGACCUGAGAGGGUGAUCGGCCACACUGGGACUGAGACACGGCCCAGACUCCUACGGGAGGCAGCAGUAGGGAAUCUUCCGCAAUGGGCGAAAGCCUGACGGAGCAACGCCGCGUGAGUGAAGAAGGAUUUCGGUUCGUAAAGCUCUGUUGUUAGGGAAGAAUGGAUAUGUAGUAACUAUACAUGUAAGAGACGGUACCUAACCAGAAAGCCACGGCUAACUACGUG